CCUACGGGAGGCAGCAGUAAGGAAUAUUGGACAAUGGCCGCAAGGCUGAUCCAGCCAUGCCGCGUGCAGGAUGACGGUGCUCUGCAUUGUAAACUGCUUUUGUUCGGGAAUAAACCUCUUCACGUGUGAGGAGUUGAAUGUACCGAAAGAAUAAGGGACGGCUAACUUCGUGCCAGCAGCCGCGGUAAUACGAAGGUCCCAAGCGUUAUCCGGAUUUAUUGGGUUUAAAGGGUGCGUAGGCGGGUUAUUAAGUCAGUGGUGAAAGCUCCCAGCUCAACUGGGAAACUGCCAUUGAUACUGAUAGUCUUGAGUAUGAUUGAAGUGGCGGAAUGUGUCAUGUAGCGGUGAAAUGCUUAGAUAUGACACAGAACACCGAUUGCGAAGGCAGCUCACUAAGCCAUAACUGACGCUG
rnacentral:rRNA from 1 species